rnacentral:rRNA from 1 species
UAGGGAAUCUUCGGCAAUGGACGAAAGUCUGACCGAGCAACGCCGCGUGAGUGAAGAAGGUUUUCGGAUCGUAAAACUCUGUUGUUAGAGAAGAACAAGGACGUUAGUAACUGAACGUCCCCUGACGGUAUCUAACCAGAAAGCCACGGCUAACUACGUGCCAGCAGCCGCGGUAAUUCGUAGGUGGCAAGCGUUGUCCGGAUUUAUUGGGCGUAAAGCGAGCGCAGGCGGUUUCUUAAGUCUGAUGUGAAAGCCCCCGGCUCAACCGGGGAGGGUCAUUGGAAACUGGGAGACUUGUCUGCAGAAGAGGAGAGUGGAAUUCCAUGUGUAGCGGUGAAAUGCGUAGAUAUAUGGGGGAACACCAGUGGCUAAGGCGGCUCUCUGGUCUGUAACUGACGCUGAGGCUCGAAAGCGUGGGGAGCAAACAGG